AUUGAACGCUGGCGGCAGGCUUAACACAUGCAAGUCGAGCGGAGAGAGGUAGCUUGCUACUGAUCUUAGCGGCGGACGGGUGAGUAAUACUUAGGAAUCUGGCUAUUAGUGGGGGACAACAUUUCGAAAGGGAUGCUAAUACCGCAUACGUCCUACGGGAGAAAGCAGGGGAUCUUCGGACCUUGCGCUAAUAGAUGAGCCUAAGUCGGAUUAGCUAGUUGGUGGGGUAAAGGCCUACCAAGGCGACGAUCUGUAGCGGGUCUGAGAGGAUGAUCCGCCACACUGGGACUGAGACACGGCCCAGACUCCUACGGGAGGCAGCAGUGGGGAAUAUUGGACAAUGGGGGGAACCCUGAUCCAGCCAUGCCGCGUGUGUGAAGAAGGCCUUAUGGUUGUAAAGCACUUUAAGCGAGGAGGAGGGUACUGGUAUUAAUACUACCAGGUACUGGACGUUACUCGCAGAAUAAGCACCGGCUAACUCUGUG
rnacentral:rRNA from 1 species